GUGUGUGAUCUGUUGGCCUCAUGGUACUUUGGGCGUUUUGGCAGGAGGACGCAGACCGUUGCGUCGUUACUGGCUGGAUAAGCAAAGCAAAACCAGCACAAGAUUAAUUUUGAUGGUCGCUUGAUCCAGUGAUAGGGGAACAGGAUUAGAAGGUCAAACCUGGUAUAGGGACCACAUCAUCUCCUUGAUGCAGAACCCAAGCUAGCUGAGCUGGGCUGCACUGGUGCUUCUUGGCCAGAUCUUCCAUUUUCAGAUAUUUCAAUUGGGCGCACCUGCGUGAGCACCGACACGAUCCCCUGCUAGGUCCGGCCCCGAUCUCCUGCACAGAAUGGGUGAAAAGGCAGAUUGGAGUGCUGCUCAUGUGAAGCUUUUUUAUGAAUUAUGCGCAAACGAAGUUCUUGCGGGACAUAGGCCAUUAGGUCACCUUAAUAAGGUUGGUUGGAAGAAUGUCGAAGCUAAGUUCUUGGAGGAAUCGGGUCGGAAACUUGAACACUUGCAAUUCAAGAAUAAAUGGGACAACCUCAAAAGAAAUUACUCUACUUUUAUGGAGUUAAAAAAUGCUGCUACCGGACUUGGAUGGAAUGAGACGAGACAAACAGUGGAUUGUGAUGAUAAAUGGUGGGAAGAACAUCUUGCGAAAUGUCAUGAUCCAGCUAAUGGAAGGAAAUGUAAGCAUGUGCAGUUUAAAAAAUGUGGCCCGGCUAAUUUAGAAUCAUUGCACAUUAUGUUUGGGAGUGCCCAUGUCACAGGGGCAUCGACCACCAUACCAGGAGACUUUUCUGCUAACUCAACUGAUGAUGACGUACAAGAGAUACAAAGAAGUACAUCCAAUGCAAAUCUGAAUAUGAGGAACCAAAAUGACAAGAAGCGCAAGGCAUCUUCCUCAGCUAGUGUGGAAGAUAAGGAAGACAAGAGCAGUCCAUUCUUACGGUUGUACAAGCAAGCUUGCAGCAAGAUAGAAGGAGUGGACAAGAUAAGCACAAGCAUUGAAGCUUCGUCGAAAUCUGUGACAAGCCAUGUUCCUACCAUUGCAGAAGCUAUGCAGAUGGUGAAAGAAUGUGGGGUGGAGGAGGGAACCGCUAUUAUGCAUACUUCCAGUUUGCUCAUGGUAAAACCUGAGUUUAGAGAGCUACUAGCAACUUUUGAAACACUUCGAGGGAGACUUGAUUGGUUGCAGAGGCAGCAUGAGAUGACGCAGCUGCCAUAAGAGUUGAAGGGAGACUUCUUUUUCCAACAUUAUUUGCUUGUUUGAGAACCAUUAUUCGUGUA